rnacentral:lncRNA from 1 species
GGCGGCGAUUUCGGAGAGCGUAACGACGUGAAGUGGUGUAGAGUUUCGGAUCUUAUCGCGCCAUCGGUGAAGAAGAUAAUAAGCGACGGAGAAGAAAAGGGUGAAGAAGAUUGUGUUGGUGAGGUAGAGAGGAAGGGGAAGAGCAUCGGAAGCUUUAGGCGAUGCAGUUUUCAAGUGUUGAUGUUCGGGCGCCGAUGCGUUUUGUUCGUUCCGACUGAAGGUACAGGUGGCAGCACCACCAUCCUGCACGGCGUUGGGACGCGGUGGUCGGACAGAACGCCG